AAAAGAAAAAGAAAAAUAAUAACAUGAUUAGAUUAGUACCUGCGAUGAUUGAGACUGGCAGAGGAAAAUAGGGCCUUUUAAGGGAUUCUCUCUUCAGGAAACUAACCCAAUCGUAUAUGGGUUAGAUUUGGCUUGGAACAUAAUGGGACGGACAUGGGCUAAGAAAUAAGUAAUCUGGUCAAUGGUGGGUGCAGCCACUGACCAGGGAUACUGUUUCUUUUUCCAAGGAAACAUCCCACACUGUGAGGAUUAGUACCUGCGAGGAUUGAGAGUGGCAGAGGAAAAUAGGGCCUUUUCAGGGAUUCUCUCUUCAGAAAACUAACCCAAUCGAAUAUGGGUUAGAUUUGGCUUGGGACAUAAUGGGAUGGACAUGGGCUAAGAAAUAAGUAAUCUGGUCAAUGGUGGGAGCAGCCACUGACCAGGGAUACUGUUUCUUGUUCCAAGGAAACAUCCCACACUGUUGCAGGAGGAAUCCAACUGUUAUUGACUUGCUCCAUGGAGCCCCUUACACCCAACAGAUUGCUGGUUGCUGCAAGGGUGGUGUUCUGGCAUCACAGUGACAUGAUCCCAGAGCUGCAGUUUCAGCUUAGCGUUGGGCUUUCGGGCACUUCAAAUAAACCAGUGAGACUGCCCAAGAAUUUCACUUUGCUGGGUCCAGGGACAGGCUACACAUGCAGCCAAGCAACCAUUGAAGCUCCUUCACUUUCCCUCUCCUCUGAUGGCCGGCGAGAAACCUACUGAUGUGAAGUGCACCUACUCACAGCUGGUGGCCUUAUGGAUUCUCUCGUCUGGAGGGCAACUUCAGAAAAGGGCUUCUUGAUGCCCGAGGAAAAUAGGGCCUUUUUCAUGGGGGUAAAAUGGGAUUCUUCACUGGUUUGCAACUUGGAACCAAAUCCAACGAGAUUUUG